rnacentral:rRNA from 1 species
UACGUAGGGGGCAAGCGUUGUCCGGAUUUAUUGGGCGUAAAGAGCGUGUAGGCGGUUAGGUAGGUCCGUUGUGAAAACUCGAGGCUCAACCUCGAGACGCCGAUGGAAACCAUCUGACUAGAGUCCGGAAGAGGAGAGUGGAAUUCCUGGUGUAGCGGUGAAAUGCGUAGAGAUGUGGAGGAACACCAGUGGCGAAGGCGACUCUUUGGCCUGUAACUGACGCUGAGGCGCGAAAGCGUGGGGAGCAAACAGG